UACGGAGGGGGCAAGCGUUAUUCGGAAUUAUUGGGCGUAAAGGGCUCGUAGGCGGUCUGUCGCGUCGGGAGUGAAAACUCAGGGCUUAACCCUGAGCCUGCUUCCGAUACGGGCAGACUAGAGGUAUGCAGGGGAGAACGGAAUUCCUGGUGUAGCGGUGAAAUGCGCAGAUAUCAGGAGGAACACCGGUGGCGAAGGCGGGUCUCUGGGCCGUAACUGACGCUGAGGAGCGAAAGCGUGGGGAGCGAACAGG
rnacentral:rRNA from 1 species